rnacentral:lncRNA from 1 species
GGAAAUAACAGGCUCCGGCCCCGCACGGAACGCUCUCCCGAAAUGCACCCGCGCGGCAGCCUCAGCCUCGGUGCCGGCAGAGCAGCGAGCGCGGCCAGCAGCAGCCCGCCCGGGGGCGAGGGCUCCGCACUUUGCCGCGGCCCGACCCGCCGCUCCCGCAGUCCCCGCGUAAGAUGCGCGGCCGCGCAGUGCGCCUCGGAGGGAGCGCGGCGAGGCGCUCAGCCCCGGGGCUAUGAGCUCGCCGCCGCCGGAGGCCGAGGCGCGGGGCGUCUUCCCCGCGGCUGCAGAUAACUCCUGCUUCGCUUCAUAUCUGCAAGCAGUCAGAGACAUGUUCAGCUCGUGAUGUCCUCUUCAUUUGUGCAAGAUAUAAACUGGAAAAGGAAGGCAAAAGGAAGGCAAGCAAAAAGAAAAUUACCUAGA